GGGAAUGUAGUUAAAUUUAACAUUUAAUUUGCAAUUAAAAAAUACUUAUUAAAGUCUUUCUCA
rnacentral:tRNA from 1 species